GCCCCUUCGCGGUCCCCUCCAUCCCUUCCCCGCUGCAUCGCCGCCCUACAGCCCCCGCUCUGUGGCGGCCGCCCGAGACACGUGUGCCCGCGCCCGGCGGGCGUGCGGGGAAGCGCGGCCACGCCUGGUCCGGCCACCAUUUCUCCGGCGCCCACCGGUUCGAGUGCGGAGCCUGAAGCAUGAGCGGCGACUCGGAGCGCGCGGUGGCCCCGGGGGUGGUGCCUGCACCCUGCGCCUCGAAGGUGGAGCUGCGGCUGAGCUGCCGGCACCUGCUGGACCGGGACCCAUUGACCAAGUCCGACCCCAGCGUGGUGCUGCUGCAGCAGGCACAGGGCCAGUGGCUACAGGUGGACAGAACAGAGGUGGUGAAGAGCAGCCUGCAUCCUGUGUUCUCCAAGGUCUUCACUGUCGACUACUACUUCGAGGGGGUGCAGAAGCUACGGUUUGAGGUGUAUGACACCCACGGGCCUAGUGGGCUGACUUGCCAGGAUGAUGACUUCCUAGGGGGCAUGGAGUGUACCCUGGGUCAAAUUGUGGCCCAGAAGAAGAUGACACGGCCAUUGCUGUUGCGAUUCGGCAGGAAUGCUGGCAAGUCCACCAUCACGGUGAUAGCAGAGGACAUCUCUGGGAACAACGGCUAUGUGGAGCUCUCCUUCCAGGCCCGGAAACUGGAUGACAAGGACCUCUUCAGCAAGUCGGACCCCUUCCUAGAGCUGUAUCGGGUUAAUGACGACGGGAGUGAGCAGCUCGUGUACAGGACAGAGGUAGUGAAGAACAAUCUUAACCCAGUGUGGGAACCCUUCAAGGUGUCCCUGAAUUCACUCUGCAGCUGCGAGGAGACACGGCCUCUGAAGUGCCUGGUCUGGGACUAUGACUCCCGAGGAAAGCAUGACUUCAUUGGCGACUUCACCACCACGUUCGCAGAGAUGCAGAAGGCCUUUGAGGAGGAGCAGCAGGCCCAGUGGGACUGUGUGAAUGCCAAGUACAAACAGAAGAAGCGCAAUUACAAGAAUUCCGGGGUGGUGAUCCUGGCAGACCUGAAGCUCCACAGGGUCCACUCCUUCCUGGAUUACAUCAUGGGUGGCUGCCAGAUCCACUGUACGGUAGCCAUCGACUUCACAGCCUCCAACGGUGACCCGAGGAACAGCUGCUCCCUCCACCACAUCAACCCUUACCAGCCCAACGAGUACCUGAGGGCAUUGGUGGCAGUGGGCGAGGUCUGCCAGGAUUAUGACAGUGACAAGCGGUUUUCUGCUCUGGGAUUUGGAGCCCGGAUCCCUCCCAAGUAUGAGGUGUCCCACGACUUUGCCAUCAAUUUCAACCCUGAGGACGAUGAGUGUGAAGGAAUCCAGGGCGUGGUGGAGGCCUACCAGAACUGCCUGCCGAAGGUUCAGCUCUACGGCCCCACCAACGUGGCACCCAUCAUCUCUAAGGUGGCCCGCAUGGCAGCGGCUGAGGAGAGCACAGGAGAGGCUUCUGUAGCAAUAUUACAUACUGCUGAUCCUCACGGACGGUGUGGUGACGGAUAUGUCGGACACUCGAGAGGCCAUUGUGCGUGCCUCCCACCUGCCCAUGUCUGUCAUCAUUGUUGGGGUGGGCAACGCUGACUUCACAGAUAUGCAAAUCUUAGACGGGGAUGAUGGAGUCCUGCGUUCCCCACGGGGCGAGCCUGCACUCCGGGACAUCGUUCAGUUUGUGCCCUUCCGUGAGCUAAAGAACGCAUCCCCCGCAGCACUGGCCAAGUGUGUGUUGGCCGAGGUGCCAAAGCAGGUGGUUGAAUACUACAGCCACAAGGAGCUGCCUCCUCGAAGCCUUGGCGCCCAGACUGGAGAGGCUGCUGCCAGCUCAGCGCCAUGAGGAUGUCAGGGGAGGGAGCAGUACGUCCGUCCAUCUAUGGCAUCUCCCGUGCCCCCAGAAAUCCUCAGAAACUGAUCACCCAGCCCAGGCCUCCCAGCCCUGCUCCUGUGUUCUGCUGGCCUGCGUCAGUGGCCUGGUCCCCAACAUGAAGAGAUCUAGGCCUUGUGGCUUGACAGAAAUUAGCAGCUCCCCCAGCUCUGGGCCUCCCUGCACCCAACAGGCAAGGAGCAGGGUGUUCUGAAAGAAAUGGGGCUGCAAAGAUGCUCUCCCCUCUUGCUUGAGGUCACUCUCCUGUCAAUCAUAGCACCACUUCAGAAGAGCCCUCAAGCCCAGCUUGGCCCAGAGAGAUGGGUGGGAUCGCUCCUGUUAUAAUCCUGGCAGCUCAGCUAUGGAAAGGGUGGUGAAGGGGUGGUCGACCUGGACAAUCUUGCCAUUUGAUCGUGUGGAGAGAGGAAGUACCCCAAGCCUUGAGGACACCCAUAUCUGGGCACUUUGUCCCCAUAGGUUUCUCUGUCCUGUCUGGUGCCUCUCCAACCUGUACCCACACCUGGAGCCUGCGGGGCCUGGGAGACAGCUUAGGGUGUAAUAAAGUAUCCCUCAUUCUCACA